UCUCUUUACCCAUGUAUCCAUAUAAUAGGUUUCACGUUUCUAAUAAAAUUGGUUUUAUGUUAUUUUCAAGUCUUGUUUUGUUUUCAUAACUUUAACCCAUCUUUGUCUAUAUAAUCCGUCAUUUUCUUUUUUUCUUUUUUCCGUGUUCAUUUUUUUAAAACAACAUAUUAUGAUAUCAAUACAUUAUAUCUUAUAAUAAUAGAUUUAAAAAACUGAAAUAUCAAUAUAUCACAAUUUAAGUCAAUAAAAUUAAUCAUAAAAAAUAUGCAUAUUCUCGUAUUUUAGUGUUUAAAACAUAAUUUUUAUAAAAAUUGUAUAAAAUAAGUAAUUCACUCUACCAAUGUUG
rnacentral:lncRNA from 1 species